AUUGAACGCUGGCGGCAGGCUUAACACAUGCAAGUCGAGCGGGGUGAUGGUGCUUGCACUAUCACUUAGCGGCGGACGGGUGAGUAAUGCUUAGGAAUCUGCCUAUUAGUGGGGGACAACAUCUCGAAAGGGAUGCUAAUACCGCGUACGUCCUACGGGAGAAAGCAGGGGAUCACUUGUGACCUUGCGCUAAUAGAUGAGACUAAGUCGGAUUAGCUAGUUGGUGGGGUAAAGGCCUACCAAGGCGACGAUCUGUAGCGGGUCUGAGAGGAUGAUCCGCCACACUGGGCCUGAGACACGGCCCAGACUCCUACGGGAGGCAGCAGUCGGGAAUAUUGGACAAUGGGGGGAACCCUGAUCCAGCCAUGCCGCGUGUGUGAAGAAGGCCUUAUGGUUGUAAAGCACUUUAAGCGAGGAGGAGGCUCUUUUGGUUAAUACCCAAGAUGAGUGGACGUUACUCGCAGAAUAAGCACCGGCUAACUCUGUGCCAGCCGCCGCCGUAA
rnacentral:rRNA from 1 species